rnacentral:rRNA from 1 species
GUAGGUGGCAAGCGUUGUCCGGAAUUAUUGGGCGUAAAGCGCGCGCAGGCGGUCCUUUAAGUCUGAUGUGAAAGCCCACGGGCUCAACCGUGAGGGUCAUUGGAAACUGGGGGACUUGAGUACAGAAGAGGAAAGCGGAAUUCCAAGUGUAGCGGUGAAAUGCGUAGAGAUUUGGAGGAACACCAGUGGCGAAGGCGGCUUUCUGGUCUGUAACUGACGCUGAGGCGCGAAAGCGUGGGGAGCAAACAGGAUUAGAUACCCUGGUAGUCCACGACGUAAACGAUGAGUGCUAAGUGUUAGGGGGUUUCCGCCCCUUAGUGCUGCAGCUAACGCAUUAAGCACUCCGCCUGGGGAGUACGGCCGCAAAGGCUGA